CAAAAAACAGGCAAGGAACCAAAGUUGCCAAAAAAGACUCCAAGAAAUAGAGUUCAAGGAAAUGCCCAAGAAACCAGUAUUCAACAUGUUGAAGGAAAGACCCGGAGUGGUAGAAUUCCCAAAAAAAACCCAAAGUACCUAUAGAAAGUAAAUUGAAAAGGAAUGUCAGUGUGAUUUUGAUGGCUGACAAGCUUUUUUGUGGUUUUAAGCAUAGUGCUGUACAAGUCGUGACUGAUAAAGUCAAGCUGAUUACCUUGGAAAAGGUUCCAACCAGAGUAUUAUGGACUAUCUUGAGUCUUAUCAAAUUGGAUAAUUAUAUUGAACAGAUUUAGUGAUGGUGACUUUGGGAAGAUGGAACAGUGGGAAAACAUUUACAACUUAAAAUAAAACUCUUCAAGGACAUGUACUUAAAAAGUUGGCCUGUGGAAUACACUUCAUAGGGACAAGACUUAUUGGGCAGCUGGACGCAAGAGUCAACCGCAGGAAAUUGCUUCCCUUUCAGGAUACUUUAUAGAGGAUGUUGUGUAUGGGACAGAACACAAUCUUGUUGUAAUCAGUGAGAAUAAUGGAUUGGAUAGCAGAUAGGACACAAGUGCUGACUGAACUACAUCCUGCCCUCCACAGAGAAUCCCUAGUGUUUAUGUGCCGGCAGCUAGAGAAUCCUAGCAAAGUGAUUGUUAGAUGGGGAUAUACAAAGCCUUCUGAAGCUGCUUCUCCUCUGGUUUCAUCACUCCUCAUGGCAAUUUCUACCACUUACAAUUUAAAAUCAAUUAAAAUGUAUGUACAGUAAAACAUUUUUAAAUGAAUUGCAAGGGACAGCUGAAAUAGAUUCAUUCCAAGUUGAAUUUCUUUUAUUCAAUAAAUUUUUUGUUAUAUUGUAGUGCUUGAUGUGUUUAAACAUGAGUUUGCUUUUAAUUAUCUAUGUUUGUUACAAAACUGUGCAUGUACUUUGAUAAAUGAUCAAUAGGUCAAUAUUCCCCAAAUGUAGUUUAGAGUUUACUGUGAAAUGACAGUUUAUAUCUUAACAAUUUUAUCACAUGUUUACUUCUUUAUACAGUAGAUAUCAGUCAUAUGAUAUUGUUUUCAUAUAAACAGUUGUGAUGUCACAAUGUUUUUACAUGAACGUGAUAAAGUCAGUUUAAGUUGAUUUAGAUAUAAAACACACAAGUAAUAGCUAUUUUCAAACAUGUGAUUAAAAGAAUCUCACAUAGUUUGUGGCUGGAUAUCUUUUUAUCCAACUGAUUGUGUGUUACGUAUUCCCUCGCCAUCCAUGGGGCAUGAAGUCUAAGGUGCAAAACGUGUAAUUACUCAUACUAUUUCAACCAUUAUUUCAGGGGUAAACCAGUAUUUGCACAAAAAGGAAGCAAGUGUUUAAACUUAGGGCAGCAGAGAACAUGAGGUUACCAGCCAGGAUUUGGAAAGUCUAAGUCAUAGGGAGGGGCAAAUGAUUCAGGAAGAGUAUUUGAUGAUACCAUCAUUGAAAUGUGUCAGAAUGAUCUCUUCAUGUUCAAGUUCCUGAGAAUCCUGUUUUUUUGGUAGCCAUCAGAACUAAGAAACCCCUGGACCUACAUUUGUCCUAGAGUGCAUGGAAACUCCUUGAUUAGAGGAUCUUGAGUAGGUUUUCAGUUCAUCCCCUUGCACUGUUUUGAGGGUCAGUGUAUUGAUGGCAGAUUAAUCCCUGUUGUACCAGGGGGGAGUAGCAUUACAGUUAAAUUUUCACAGUAGAGGGGACUAAGAUGAAGCAGUGCUGAAUUAUAGGCCCAAGAAAAUGAAUUGACAGGAUUUAGUGGGACAGUUUUUGGAUUUGGAUAAAAUGCCUUCAGGAAGGUUGACACAAUAAAAUUUUUCUUGGAGGUGGAAGAGGAGGAUUGACAGCAUGAAUACAGUUUAAAAUCAUGAAGGCAAAGCGCAUUUUAUGACAUCUAAGUGUUUAUAAUACUAGAUAGUCCCAGAAAUACACUCACCAAAUGGCAAAGUAGUCUGCUCUCAGUUAAAUGUCUCACAAUUUGUCCAGUUAAGGCAUUAUUUACAUAGUUCUGGAAAAGACCUGACCUUACAUGCUUGUUUCUGCUCUGAAUGUUUCAUGGCAUGAGAAUAACUUUGGAUGAUGUUAUUGAGACAUUUGUAUUUAAUGCUUAUGUGAAUUACAUGUGUGUACAUAUAUUGUGGGAAUUCUGUUGUGAAUAGUGCAUAUCAUUUUGAUUUUUUUUUCUGUUUAGUGUUUAUGUUUGUGUAUUGCAUUUAUGAACAAAAAUUGUAAAAUAUUUUUUUUCAUUUUUGAUUUUCAUAAAAUUAUCUUUGUCCCUUUUGUAUACAUUUUCAGGUAUAAAUAUGCAUUGUGUAUUGUUUUUUUAGUGUUAGAGUACAAAUAAAUGUGAAGAAUUGAGUAGAGUUGUAUGAAGUGUAUUCUUAUAUAUUUACAUUUCCAAUGUCAUUGUCCGAGAUAAAAUUUCAAAAAGUAAAAAUAUUUUAUUUCUACAUAAAUCUACUGGUUCAUCGAUAGGCGUUGUGAAAAAAAAAAUCACGUGCGGGGCGUGACAAAUAGAGACAGAAGUGGGACUUGUUGCAGGUGAAUUUGCAGAAUCAAGGGCAUGUAAAUAUAAGGAAUAACUGUCAGAUUUUUUGGUUUCAUGACGAUGAUCGAAUGAUUGGCUU